rnacentral:rRNA from 1 species
ACGCACGCUGGCGGCGUGCUUCACCCCUGCCAGUCGUACGGUAAGGCCCUUUCGGGGGUACACGAGUGGCGAACGGGUGAGUAACACGUGAGUAACCUGCCCACAACUUUGGGAUAACGCUAGGAAACUGGUGCUAAUACUGGAUAUGUGCUCCUGCUGCAUGGUGGGGGUUGGAAAGCUCCGGCGGUUGUGGAUGGACUCGCGGCCUAUCAGCUUGUUGGUGGGGUAGUGGCCUACCAAGGCGGCGACGGGUAGCCGGCCUGAGAGGGUGACCGGCCACAUUGGGACUGAGAUACGGCCCAGACUCCUACGGGAGGCAGCAGUGGGGAAUAUUGCACAAUGGGCGCAAGCCUGAUGCAGCAACGCCGCGUGCGGGAUGACGGCCUUCGGGUUGUAAACCGCUUUCAGCAGGGACGAAGCUUUUUGUGACGGUACCUGCAGAAGAAGCACCGGCUAACUACGUG